rnacentral:rRNA from 1 species
AGUGGACGCUGGCGGUAGGCCUAACGCAUGCAAGUCGAACGGCAGCACAGUAAGAGCUUGCUCUUACGGGUGGCGAGUGGCGGACGGGUGAGGAAUACAUCGGAAUCUACUUUUUCGUGGGGGAUAACGUAGGGAAACUUACGCUAAUACCGCAUACGACCUACGGGUGAAAGCAGGGGAUCUUCGGACCUUGCGCGAUUGAAUGAGCCGAUGUCGGAUUAGCUAGUUGGCGGGGUAAAGGCCCACCAAGGCGACGAUCCGUAGCUGGUCUGAGAGGAUGAUCAGCCACACUGGAACUGAGACACGGUCCAGACUCCUACGGGAGGCAGCAGUGGGGAAUAUUGGACAAUGGGCGCAAGCCUGAUCCAGCCAUACCGCGUGGGUGAAGAAGGCCUUCGGGUUGUAAAGCCCUUUUGUUGGGAAAGAAAAGCAGCAGGUUAAUACCCCGCUGUUCUGACGGUACCCAAAGAAUAAGCACCGGCUAACUUCGUG